rnacentral:rRNA from 1 species
UACGUAGGGGGCAAGCGUUCGUCCGGAAUUAUUGGGCGUAAAGCGCGCGCAGGCGGUUCUUUAAGUCUGGUGUAUAAGUGCGGGGCUCAACCCCGUGAGGCACUGGAAACUGGGGAACUUGAGUGCAGAAGAGGAGAGCGGAAUUCCACGUGUAGCGGUGAAAUGCGUAGAGAUGUGGAGGAACGCCAGUGGCGAAGGCGGCUCUCUGGACUGUAACUGACGCUGAGGCGCGAAAGCGUGGGGAGCAAACAGG